rnacentral:rRNA from 1 species
GAUGAACGCUGGCGGCGUGCCUAAUACAUGCAAGUCGAGCGAACGGGCGAGAAGCUUGCUUCUCUGAUGUUAGCGGCGGACGGGUGAGUAACACGUGGAUAACCUACCUAUAAGACUGGGAUAACUUCGGGAAACCGGAGCUAAUACCGGAUAAUAUUUUGAACCGCAUGGUUCAAAAGUGAAAGACGGUCUUGCUGUCACUUAUAGAUGGAUCUGCGCUGCAUUAGCUAGUUGGUAAGGUAACGGCUUACCAAGGCAACGAUGCAUAGCCGACCUGAGAGGGUGAUCGGCCACACUGGAACUGAGACACGGUCCAGACUCCUACGGGAGGCAGCAGUAGGGAAUCUUCCGCAAUGGGCGAAAGCCUGACGGAGCAACGCCGCGUGAGUGAUGAAGGUCUUCGGAUCGUAAAACUCUGUUAUUAGGGAAGAACAUAUGUGUAAGUAACUGUGCACAUCUUGACGGUACCUAAUCAGAAAGCCACGGCUAACUACGUG